GAGUUUGAUCGUGGCUCAGAUUGAACGCUGGCGGCAGGCCUAACACAUGCAAGUCGAGCGGUAGAGAGAAGCUUGCUUCUCUUGAGAGCGGCGGACGGGUGAGUAAUGCCUAGGAAUCUGCCUGGUAGUGGGGGAUAACGCUCGGAAACGGACGCUAAUACCGCAUACGUCCUACGGGAGAAAGCAGGGGACCUUCGGGCCUUGCGCUAUCAGAUGAGCCUAGGUCGGAUUAGCUAGUUGGUGAGGUAAUGGCUCACCAAGGCGACGAUCCGUAACUGGUCUGAGAGGAUGAUCAGUCACACUGGAACUGAGACACGGUCCAGACUCCUACGGGAGGCAGCAGUGGGGAAUAUUGGACAAGUGGGCGAAAGCCUGAUCCAGCCAUGCCGCGUGUGUGAAGAAGGUCUUCGGAUUGU
rnacentral:rRNA from 1 species